GACGAACGCUGGCGGCGUGCUUAACACAUGCAAGUCGAACGGUAAGGCCUUUCGGGGUACACGAGUGGCGAACGGGUGAGUAACACGUGGGUGAUCUGCCCUGCACUUCGGGAUAAGCCCGGGAAACUGGGUCUAAUACCGGAUAGGACUGCGCGGUGCAUGCCGUGUGGUGGAAAGAUUUAUCGGUGCAGGAUGGGCCCGCGGCCUAUCAGCUUGUUGGUGGGGUAAUGGCCUACCAAGGCGACGACGGGUAGCCGGCCUGAGAGGGCGACCGGCCACACUGGGACUGAGACACGGCCCAGACUCCUACGGGAGGCAGCAGUGGGGAAUAUUGCACAAUGGGCGCAAGCCUGAUGCAGCGACGCCGCGUGAGGGAUGACGGCCUUCGGGUUGUAAACCUCUUUCAGCAGGGACGAAGCGUGAGUGACGGUACCUGCAGAAGAAGCACCGGCCAACUACGUG
rnacentral:rRNA from 1 species